rnacentral:lncRNA from 1 species
AGAAUUCGAUAUUAUCAUCGGGUUUGAAGGAAAGAUGUUGCAUGGCCCUCUUGUUUCAAUUGUGUCCUGGUAGUGAUUUAGAGGGCACUGACAUCAAAGGUAAUGAAUCUCCAUUUUGGUUUUUGGUAUUCUUCUCAGGUAUAUAAUAAAUUGUUCGGUUCCUCCAAUUUUCUUCUUGUUAUUUUUCUGAACACAGUCGCCCCUUCCCCAGUUCUGUAAGGAUGUGCGGUUUCUGUUGAUGACCUCGUGGUUGAUUGCAGCUUGACGGAACACAGUUUCAUCAAUAAAUAUGUCCGUGUUGCUACCCUGAGAGUUAGCUUGUUUGGUAGUUGACUCAUGAUAGUUCUUUUCCUUUUAAACUGUUUUUUGAUCAGUAGUUGAUAAACCAUGUGCAAGAUUGGGAGAUUAAAUAAAGAGCUAGGCUGAGGUUUCACCGCUCAGCCUAUCAGUUUGUGUUUGGCUGACAGAAACAAUAUUGUUUGGUUUAUACAAUGAUUACCUGACAAGUUCAUCUUCCUCUUUGCAAAUAUUACAUAAUAAGUAAUGGGACUGCUAUAUUUAAUUCUUUCAUGGCAAUCAGGCUAGGCACAUACAAGAGCGCACACCUCCGCCUUAGGAGUAAGAGGCGUGUGACAUGUGUUUUAGUUUCUAAUAGAAACACAAAAUAUGUCUAUUUCGCUCGUUAGAUAAUUGUUUUUCAUUGUGUGCGCGCGUUGCACACUCAUGUCAUGACCGUGAAUGGAAAUGCACAAAGCAAAUGCAUUAUGACCCGAUGUUGUAAUUUAUAGCACCUAUUGGUCUGGUAAGAUAUGCGUUGUUGCAAAUACAGAAAUCCAACACAAUAAUGUGCGGGAGAAUAGCGCCUCCUUGCGCAUUCCACCUCAUCGUUUUUUACUGUGCUAGCGAGAGAGAGAAAAACUGAGAGGGUAAAAAGGGGUGGACACUACCUAGCGGGGACGCAAUUGGGCGAGAGGAGGAGGCGCUUCUCCUGCUAGAUCCGUGGCCAUCACGUCGCCAUCGACAUCCACCCUCCUCAACAGAUCGAUCGACCGGACGUCGCCGUGAUGUCUCUCUUUGUUGCGGAUUCAUGUGUGUUGUAUGUUCAAUCCAACCCUUACUGCAGGGCCUAGCGAAGGGAAUGAAGAGGCACACCCUCAGCCACGACUCUGUCCUUCAGCUACAAAAGCUAGAUAGAUUGUAAUCAGUUGCGUG